rnacentral:rRNA from 1 species
AUGAGGCUUAUAGCUUGGAAUUGCCGGGGGUUCUGGAACGGCCUGGCAAUUCACGACCUUCUGGAGCUCCAAAAGAAUGAGGACCCCGAUGUUCUAUUUUUGUUGGAGACGAAGAUGGAGCAGCAUAGGCUGGAGCGGUUGCGAUGGAAAAUUAAUAUGACAUGUAUGAUGGUCAAGAACAGCGGGGGACAAAGUGGUGGGCUAGCGAUGUUUUCGAAGAAGGAAGUGAACUUGAGAUUGUUGGUUUCAUAUCUAAAUAUCACAUAG